CCAAUCAAAGCAGUCUGCGCACAAAAGGAAGGUUUCCAAUUGGCUGAGGCGGCUUGAGGCGGGGUGAGGGGGCCACUUGGUGUCGUCACAAAAUGAAGGGUCAGGACAUUUAAGAGCCGCUGCAGGUUGAGUGGAGGGAAAAAAAAGACCCUAAGCCAGAAGAGUAACGUCUGCAUAGAGGUGGCAUCAACUGCUGUUGGAUUUCCAGACUCUGCUCUUUUUAUGACAUGAAUUCCCUUCCCAAGUCAGAACUUGGGCCAUGUCACUUCGCCUGCGGCUUGAGAGGAUGGGUAGCCUUAGGGGUUGGUUGUUAUCUUUGGUUAUCUAGCUGUAUGAGUGAUGUACAUUCUUCAUAAAGCUAGAUAACCGAAAGUAACAAGAAUCCCAUUACACUCCUGAAAAGGCAUCAAGACCCCAAACGGGCCACCCUCAAAAAAAAAAAAAAAAAAAAAAAAAAAAAAAGAACAAACUGCAACAACAACAACAUCAGAGAAGAAAAUGGACGACGUUCAAAAGGAGAUGGGAGCGGAACGCAGUGAAAGGCUACCAACCACACCGCCACUGAAGGGAAGCUGGCAAAAGGAGAGUGAAAAACAGAAGGAGGAGGAGGGGUUGCUGUUGAUUCUGCCCUGCCUCUCUCCUCGCCCUCCUCUGCAUCGCCUCUUCCCUCCUCCUCCUAAUCCUCCUCCCUUCCUCCUCCGCUCCAUCCUCAGCCGACUGCCCCUUUUUCCUGUACAGUGAGACGCAGCCCGCGCCACCAUCUUAGAGCAACGCUGGCAUGAAAUGGAAGUGGGAAGACCAGUCAGUGCAGGUGAAUGUUUGUCGGUGUGCAUGCGGGGGGGGGGGGGGGGGGGUGCCCGAAAACAGCCAGCGCAGACAAAGAGGCAAAGAGGAGGGAUAGCAUGGUGUCCUCCGUUCACCGUCUUUCACCCAGGACUAAAACGACGACGACGGCGGCGCUUCCUGCCGGGACUCUGGGACAUUGGCGCGCUGUUUGCACCUCAUUGGUCCGCGAUGUGUUAUUUGACCCAAAAACGUCACGGUGGACCGUGGCUGUGGGACACAACGGCUAAGACUGAAGAUCUUGAGGUGCGGACAAACUGGUCCAUGAAUGUGACUCUGGACAGUGUCCCACUUCACUUUGUAAUUCUUAUAUAUUCCAUCCUACAUAUGAGGAAUAUCACUUAGACAUGAAGCGACGUAAUGUGGCUUUAACUAACAUAGGCCCGACUUGUGUGUUUAUUUUAAUGAGUUGUAGCCCCCUGGUUUUGUUUAAUUGCUGUUGUUUCAUAUAGUUGCUAGGACUCGGAGACACGUGAAUGUGAGACCCACGGCAGCAGUGAAUAAAUACUGCACUGCGAUUGGACAGCUCCGUGUGUCGGCUGACACAGCGGCGAAGGAAUGAGCUGUCGUCUUUAUACUCUAUGCAACUGUUUUAUCUUUUUUUGGUUUUUGGUUCUUUUAUUUUAUUUUUGGUCUUGGAGCUCCUUUCAUCCUCCAUCCAGGAUUUUUAUUUUUGGGCUACCAGUUUUAUCGAUAUUAUUUCAGACAUCAUGAAGUGAUUUUUUUUUUUUUUUUUUUAAAAGGAGCCUACUUUUCCCUUGGUUCGUUAAGAAGCUGCUACAGAAAU